AACGAACGCUGGCGGCGCGCCUAAUACAUGCAAGUCGAGCGAGAAGGUGUAGCAAUACACUUGUAAAGCGGCGAACGGGUGAGGAAUACAUGGGUAAUCUACCAUCGAGUGGGGAAUAACCAACCGAAAGGUUGGCUAAUACCGCGUACGCCUCCGAAUCUUCGGGUUCGGAGGGAAAGCUGCACUGUGAGUGUAGCGCUCUUUGAUGAGCUCAUGUCCUAUCAGCUUGUUGGUAGGGUAACGGCCUACCAAGGCUUUGACGGGUAGCUGGUCUGAGAGGACGAUCAGCCACACUGGCACUGCGACACGGGCCAGACUCCUACGGGAGGCAGCAGUAAGGAAUAUUGCGCAAUGGGCGAAAGCCUGACGCAGCGACGCCGCGUGGGGGAUGAAGGUCUUCGGAUUGUAAACCCCUUUCGGAGGGAAGAUGGAGCGAGCAAUCGUUCGGACGGUACCUCCACGAAGCAGCCACGGCCAACUUCGUGCCAGCA
rnacentral:rRNA from 1 species